rnacentral:tRNA from 1 species
GCAGGUGUAGUUCAGUGGUAGAACACCAGCCUUCCAAGCUGGUUAUGCGGGUUCGAUUCCCGUCACCUGCUCCA